AGUAACGGCGAGUGAAGCGGCAGCAGCCCAGAUUUGAUCUGGUCCUUUUGGGGCCCGAGUUGUAAUCUGCAGAGGAAGGUCUGGUGCGGUGCGGCCUAGUUCCCUGGAACGGGACGCCGUAGAGGGUGACAGCCCCGUACGGUCGGCCACCAAACCUGUGUGUCGCUCCUUCGAAGAGUCGCGUAGUUUGGGAAUGCUGCGCAAAGUGGGAGGUAUGCUCCUCCUAAGGCUAAAUACCGGCCAGAGACCGAUAGCGCACAAGUAGAGUGAUCGAAAGAUGAAAAGCACCUUGAAAAUGGGGUUAAAAAGUACGUGAAAUUGCCAAAGGGGAAGCGCUCGUGGCCAGACUCGUGCCUUAGGAUCAUCCGGCUAUUUCGCCGGUGCACUCCAUUAGGCUCGGGCCAGCGUCGGUGGCGCCGGUACUAAAAGACGCGCGAACGUGGCUCUCUUCGGGGAGUGUUAUAGCGCGCUGUGUAAUGUGCUGGCGCCGUCCGAGGACCGCGCAUUUAUGCAAGGACGCUGGCGUAAUGGCCACUAGCGACCCGUCUUGAAACACGGACCAAGGAGUCGCCCAGAGACGCGAGUGUGCGGGUGACAAACCCCUGCGCGAAGUGAAAGCGAACGCUGGUGGGAACCCUCACGGGUGCACCACCGACCGAUCCUGAUGUCUUCGGAUGGAUUUGAGUAUGAGCGUUUCUGGUCGGACCCGAAAGAGGGUGAACUAUGCUUGGGUAGGGUGAAGCCAGAGGAAACUC
rnacentral:rRNA from 1 species